rnacentral:rRNA from 1 species
UGAUGCGAUCAUACCAGCACUAAAGUACCGGAUCCCAUUAGAACUCCGAAGUUAAGCGUGCUUGGGCGAGAGUAGUACUAGGAUGGGUGACCUCUUGGGAAGUCCUCGUGUUGCAUUCC